rnacentral:rRNA from 1 species
CUUAACACAUGCAAGUCGAGGGGCAGCACAGGUAGCAAUACCGGGUGGCGACCGGCGCACGGGUGAGUAACGCGUAUGCAACUUACCUAUCAGAGGGGGAUAACCCGGCGAAAGUCGGACUAAUACCGCAUGAAGCAGGGGCCCCGCAUGGGGAUAUUUGCUAAAGAUUCAUCGCUGAUAGAUAGGCAUGCGUUCCAUUAGGCAGUUGGCGGGGUAACGGCCCACCAAACCGACGAUGGAUAGGGGUUCUGAGAGGAAGGUCCCCCACAUUGGUACUGAGACACGGACCAAACUCCUACGGGAGGCAGCAGUGAGGAAUAUUGGUCAAUGGCCGAGAGGCUGAACCAGCCAAGUCGCGUGAGGGAUGAAGGUUCUAUGGAUCGUAAACCUCUUUUAUAAGGGAAUAAAGUGCGGGACGUGUCCCGUUUUGUAUGUACCUUAUGAAUAAGGAUCGGCUAACUCCGUGCCAGCAGCCGCGGUAAUACGGAGGAUCCGAGCGUUAUCCGGAUUUAUUGGGUUUAAAGGGUGCGUAGGCGGCCUUUUAAGUCAGCGGUGAAAGUCUGUGGCUCAACCAUAGAAUUGCCGUUGAAACUGGGGGGCUUGAGUAUGUUUGAGGCAGGCGGAAUGCGUGGUGUAGCGGUGAAAUGCAUAGAUAUCACGCAGAACCCCGAUUGCGAAGGCAGCCUGCCAAGCCAUGACUGACGCUGAUGCACGAAAGCGUGGGGAUCAAACAGGAUUAGAUACCCUGGUAGUCCACGCAGUAAACGAUGAUCACUAGCUGUUUGCGAUACACUGUAAGCGGCACAGCGAAAGCGUUAAGUGAUCCACCUGGGGAGUACGCCGGCAACGGUGAAACUCAAAGGAAUUGACGGGGGCCCGCACAAGCGGAGGAACAUGUGGUUUAAUUCGAUGAUACGCGAGGAACCUUACCCGGGUUUGAACGCAUUCGGACCGAGGUGGAAACACCUUUUCUAGCAAUAGCCGUUUGCGAGGUGCUGCAUGGUUGUCGUCAGCUCGUGCCGUGAGGUGUCGGCUUAAGUGCCAUAACGAGCGCAACCCUUGCCACUAGUUACUAACAGGUGAUGCUGAGGACUCUGGUGGGACUGCCAGCGUAAGCUGCGAGGAAGGCGGGGAUGACGUCAAAUCAGCACGGCCCUUACAUCCGGGGCGACACACGUGUUACAAUGGCGUGGACAAAGGGAGGCCACCUGGCGACAGGGAGCGAAUCCCCAAACCACGUCUCAGUUCGGAUCGGAGUCUGCAACCCGACUCCGUGAAGCUGGAUUCGCUAGUAAUCGCGCAUCAGCCAUGGCGCGGUGAAUACGUUCCCGGGCCUUGUACACACCGCCCGUCAAGCCAUGGGAGCCGGGGGUACCUGAAGUCCGUAACCGCGAGGAUCGGCCUAGGGUAAAACUGGUGACUGGGGC